UGGGGAAUCUUAGACGAUGGGGGAAACCCUGAUCUAGCCAUGCCGCGUGAGCGAUGAAGGCCUUAGGGUUGUAAAGCUCUUUCAGCUGGGAAGAUAAUGACGGUACCAGCAGAAGAAGCCCCGGCUAACUCCGUGCCAGCAGCCGCGGUAAUACGGAGGGGGCUAGCGUUGUUCGGAAUUACUGGGCGUAAAGCGCACGUAGGCGGAUUAGUCAGUCAGAGGUGAAAUCCCAGGGCUCAACCCUGGAACUGCCUUUGAUACUGCUAGUCUUGAGGUCGAGAGAGGUGAGUGGAAUUCCGAGUGUAGAGGUGAAAUUCGUAGAUAUUCGGAGGAACACCAGUGGCGAAGGCGGCUCACUGGCUCGAUACUGACGCUGAGGUGCGAAAGCGUGGGGAGCAAACAAGAUUAGAUACCCUGGUAGUCCACGCCGUAAACGAUGAAUGCCAGUCGUCGGGUUGCAUGCAAUUCGGUGACACACCUAACGGAUUAAGCAUUCCGCCUGGGGAGUACGGUCGCAAGAUUAAAACUCAAAUGAAUUGACGGGGUCAUAGCUGUUUCCUG
rnacentral:rRNA from 1 species